rnacentral:rRNA from 1 species
AGAAUCAACGCUGGCGGCGUGCCUAACACAUGCAAGUCGCACGAGAAAGGGGAGCAAUCCCUGAGUACAGUGGCGCACGGGUGAGUAACACGUGAAUCAUCUACCUUCGAGUGGGGAAUAACUGGGAGAAAUCUCAGCUAAUACCGCAUAAUACCCACGGGUCAAAGCAGCAAUGCGCUUGAAGAGGAGUUCGCGGCAGAUUAGUUAGUUGGCGGGGUAAUGGCCCACCAAGACGAUGAUCUGUAUCCGGCCUGAGAGGGCGCACGGACACACUGGAACUGAAACACGGUCCAGACUCCUACGGGAGGCAGCAGUGGGGAAUUUUGCGCAAUGGGGGAAACCCUGACGCAGCAACGCCGCGUGGAGGAUGAAAUAUCUUGGUAUGUAAACUCCUUUCGAUGGGGAAGAUAAUGACGGUACCCAUAGAAGAAGCCCGGCUAACUUCGUGCCAGCAGCCGCGGUAA